rnacentral:lncRNA from 1 species
GACAUUCAAUUCCCCUAUUGAGAAAAUGAUGAGGCAAUCGAGAGAGCGUCCACUCCCUAAACACAUCAUGCUAAGAGGUAACUUAUGUUAUACCUACACCUCUUAUUUCUUACCUCGCCUUUGAAGUGUUCAUUAUGUUCACACCAAGGGGCGAAUAAAGUCUCUUAUCUACCAUGAAGACAUAAAUUGUCGAUGCUCUUAUUUAAGAAAUCUUGAGUUGGAGUGUACAUGUCUCAAUCAUUGAUAACAUUUUAGUGAAUAUUGUUGUUGCCUUUGUUUAACCAUCAUUUUUUAGUAGCCCCUUCAAUGUAGGAGCUUCUACCACCAACAUCCAAGAACCCAUGGUUAAGCAAGAAAAUAUCGAUGACGAAUAAACGUAUAAGGUGCUCAACAAACAUACUCAGACGGUCAUGGAGCCAAU